CUAACGUUUACUAAUUCUUAUACGCUACAGGGAAAGCGAUCCUGUUAACGUUGCUGUCGCUGAAGCUCUUUUAAGAGAAGUGAAGGAAAUUGACGACGUCAAAAGCAAUGCGGCAAAUACUGAGAGAAGAAUUCAAGACGCCAUUACAUCCACAUACAAGACCGCCAAGAAAAGAGAAAGACGAGCCGAGAGCGGGAAAGAAGAAGAGUACAAGCGGAAUCAGCGUAGAAUUCAAAGAAUUGAUAGGAAACUCAAGAGAAGAAUCCAAUCACUAAAUGCCGUGGAGAAGGGAUCAGACAUGGCRGAAGCACUUCAUUCUUCACUGAUUAGCUCUGACGAAUCAGAAGAUGAAAUAGUAACCGUGAGGCCUUUACCAUGGAGGCUAGAAGAAUUAAGCGAUUUUUUUCUUGAGCUUGACUCGAGACACGCAGCUGCGUUAACUCCAUCGCAGAAGAGGAUGAUGAUAAAGCGUACUAAUGGAGAAGAUAGCGAGA